CACACAUGGAGUUGAACACACAUGAAGUUGAACACACAUGAUGGUGAACACACAUGAAGUUGAACACACAUGACGUUGAACACACAUGGAGUUGAACACACAUGAUGGUGAACACACAUGAUGUUGAACACACAUGAUGGUGAACACACAU